rnacentral:rRNA from 1 species
CGGGGCGCUCCAGCAGUGGGGAAUAUUGCACAAUGGGGGAAACCCUGAUGCAGCAACGCCGCGUGGAGGAUGACGCAUUUCGGUGUGUAAACUCCUUUUAUAUAGGAAGAUAAUGACGGUACUAUAUGAAUAAGCACCGGCUAACUCCGUGCCAGCAGCCGCGGUAAUACGGAGGGUGCAAGCGUUACUCGGAAUCACUGGGCGUAAAGCGCGCGCAGGCGGCCUUUUAAGUUGGAUGUGAAAGCCUAUGGCUUAAACAUAGAACUGCAUCCAAAACUAUCAGGCUAGAGUCUGGGAGGGGAAGAUGGAAUUAGUUGUGUAGGGGUAAAUCCGUAGAGAUAACUAGGAAUACCAAAAGCGAAGGCGAUCUUCUGGAACAGUACUGACGCUGAGACGCGAAAGCGUGGGGAGCAAACAGGAUUAGACCCGCGUAGUC